rnacentral:pre_miRNA from 1 species
CGGUUGAUUUUGGAUGGUAGACUUAGAGAUAUCUAUGUGCUAGUUACCAUGUAAAUCAACCCAUC